UUCUCUGUGAGUUGUAAUGCCUUUGAGA
rnacentral:piRNA from 1 species